rnacentral:lncRNA from 1 species
AAGAGAGAGCACGUCCAGAACACGCCAGAGACUGUCUCUUCCUGGUUUGCAAACUCAUACCACUAGUAAAGCUCCUUUCUGCUAUUUAGCUAUCCUGGUGGUCUUUUGGGCAACAUGCUUAUCUGGGAAGAGCUGUCUUGUAAUCUCUGUGUCUGCAUCAGACUCUGCCAGCCCUAGAUUGGGAGCUCUGAGAUGACAUAGGCUGCGUCCCACCCCAGCAGCAGCAUGCAAGGUCAAAAGGCUGUGGCAGGAGGCCAGGCAGAUCACAGCGUCCAUGCCUAGAUGCUCCCUGACCCCCAGGAACCAGAAGUGCUGUCUCCUGAAGGCUCUGGAAACCCGGAAUCAGCCUACGAGGCACCAGGGCCACCUUGGAGGGUGGAAAUGAGGACCUCAGGCCCCAGAGGGCAUGCAGGCGAGGUGAAGUUCAGGAGAGCCAGGAAGUGUCCCCCUCUUCCCGGCCUGCUGUAUCCCAGGACACAGGGCGCAAGGUGCCAGGGGAAGCGGCUUCCAGCCCCAGGCUCUGCAGCUGGCUGCUGUGUGACCCAGAGCCAGGCACCACACCUCUCUGGGCCUUAGACUCCUUAUCCAUGAGCUUCCUGCCUGCACCCUAACAUUCAGUGUCAUUGGCCGAGUUACCCAAUGGCUCCCAGCCUCAGUUUCUUCAUCUGCACAUUAGGGAUAAGUACAGCCAUCCACCUGGGAGGUGUCAAGGGGGUGUGGCCGCAGCACCCAGCCCAUGCACAAGUUCAGUGAUCAUUACCUGUCUCCCCCAGCCCUGCCUGAGUGCCAGGAUCAGCAGGCUUGGGAAGGGGGAGCCCCCAGGGAUGUGGAAAGUGGAGAGGGAGCACAUGGGCUCUGGGGCCUCGGGGCUCCUGGGCUCUGUUCUGCCUGUCUGGGAGCUGUCUCCUGCUCUCCCUUGCAGUGUCUCUGUCUCUCUUCGUUCUGUUCCUCCCUCUGUCCUUCAGUUUUUCCCUCUCCAUCUCAGUCUCUGGUUGUCUCAGUCUCUCUUUGCACCUCACUGUCUCUGCCUUUCUCUGCAUCUCUCUUCCUUUCCUGGGCUCUCUCUCUCUCUUUCAUCCCUGUUUUGGGCUUUCUCUGUCUGUGUCUCUCUGUUUUUCAGUCUGCUUCUUUCUGUCUCCGUUCAUUUCUCUGUAUGUCUUUGUCCCCUGCACUCCCAUUCUCCUCCCAUGCUGUCCUCUCUGGGGGCUCCUCUGGCUUCACUGGGCCACAGGCCCAGGCUGGGGUGUGAAGAAGCAGGAGCUCCCCCGUCAGAUGACGCUAGGUGCCCCAGUCAGGGCAGUGGGGGCCAGACAAAGAGCUCUGCGAGGGGUGGCAAAAUCCUCUUCCCAGGGAAGGGAAUGUGGGGGCUACUGGCCAGCUGUGGGAUGGGUGGCUGAGAACUCUCAUACCACUGUAAAUUCUAGAUGUUUUUCACUUAUAUCAGCUUCCUGAUCCCCCUGAGCCAAAGGCCUAGAAGGUCCCUGUCCCUGUCCUUUUGGAAUGUGCAGUCUUACUUACCAGAGUGACAAGGGGAACAGAGUUGAAACAGGUGGUUUCCCAGCACAGGAGCCUGUGGGGGCUGCUUAGAGAACAGCACAUUCCCUGGGAGCCAGAGCCAUCUGGGAGGGCUUUCUGGAGGAGGCAGAUCAUGAGGGAUCAGGAUGGGGACUAAUAUGUGCUGAGUGCCUGGUGGUGCUUUAUAAGUAUCAGCAGAUUGGGAGAUAAGCAUAGCCACCCUGUGGAGACACCUGGGAGGUGUCAAGGGGCAUGCAUUGUAAAGGCCCAGAGUGGUGAAGCAUCCACCAGCUGGUAAGUGGUAGCCUCGGGUGGGGCCUGUCGCUGUCCCCAUGCUCUGUCCACUACUGGUGUGGCUUGCCCCACUUGUGACCAUCGUUUCUUCCCCUCCACCCCCAGUGCCACUUCCUCUCUCCCUCGUUGUAGGGGAAAGAACAUGGGCUGUGUGGCCUUGGACCAAUUGCUUGCCCUCUCUGGGCCUUCUUAUUGGUGACAGACAGACUGGUGACUUUCUGAGAGGAUCUAUGCAACCUCAGGCUCCUGCACCUGGGUUACAGGGUCUUCUGGAGGGGAAGAGAUGAGCAGCAAGGACAAUAGCAGUGCUCCCUUCCCGGGUCAGUUGCAAGGAUUAAGGAUGAUGUCUGCAAAGUGCUUAGUCAGAGCCGGCAUACGGUAAGUGCUCAAUAAAUGCUGGCUCCCAUUAUUAGUAUCCCUUCCCUCCACGCCCUCAACACAUCCCUUUAUCAUGAUGGAAUAACCAAUUGCCUGGUAACAACAUGUUCACACUUCCACGCUCCCCAUCAACCAUGCUCACCUAUAAGGCAGGCUGCGACCAGCUCCUCUUCAUCUAUUCAUUGCCUGGCCCAUGCUAGGGGCCCAAGAAAUGUCUGCUGCAUCAACGAGUGAUUUUGGGAAAGGUGCUGAGCCCUUCUGUCCCAUGAAGUUCUUGCGAGACAGUGUCUCACCAGCAACCUGGAUCGUGAGAACCACAGCGGGUGGGCCAGAUCUAGAUGGAGAGUGUCCAUUGGGCAGAGCUGCUUCUGUGAAAGGAAAGGAAGUUUUUCAAGAAACCAUGAGGGGGGCCCAAGAAUCCAAGUUUCUAACUCUGGGAUCGGUUUUCUGUCUUUUACCUCGGUUUGCCUCUCCCUAGCUGUGUGGUUUAUGGCAAGUCACUCUGUGCCUCUGUCUCCACGUGUUCAAGGAGGCAGCCGGUCCAAGGGGCCUUCAUAGAAGGGGCUGCCGAGAUGUGAGCCCUGCAUUGGGGGGAUGCCCCACAGAGGUGCUGUCCCCCAUCCCCUUUCCAGGUAUGAGUGUCCCCCAGCUCUGAGUGAAUCAGUAGGAGGUGCUGGACCUGGGCUGAUUCUCACAGUGGGACCUCAACUCUAGCCCCGGGUUGGCUGACAUUAGAGGACUUUGGGUCGUUGUUCUGGCAGCUGCAAGGAAGAGCCAAUGUCAGGGAGGGAAACCCCACAUUCCCUGGCACUAUCCAAACAAAGGUUUGGUUAAAACAAAGAAUUCUCAUGGAGAAGAGUCUGAAGGACCCAAAACACAUAUUUCUGUAGACAUCCCAUCCCAAAAUAAACCCAUGGAUCAAGCCAGACCCAAAUACAAGGAUGCUGUGAACCACAUGGUUGAAUAUUCCACACUUUCCCCAUCCAUUAAACCCCACCCAGGGUGGGAAGGGGAUGGAUUUCCCUCAGUUCUCAGGGCCUAGAAGAGCAGGGCUUUUUUCCCUCAACUGGUUGAGUUUUACUUUGUGAGCACCAUGAUUCCUAAAACCAGUUAUAUUUUCUUUUUCUCUUGGGCCGCCAGGGAACUCACAGCGAAAUCUACCAACCAAAGAGGAUGUCCAUACCUGUCUUUUUCUUUCUUCCUUCAUUUUUUGACUUAAUUUCCUCACUUGAAAAAAAAAAAUAAAACACCUUAUUCAGGGUAUACUUUAUGGGCAGUCUUAAUUUUUUUUAUUAGGAUGUGGGAUGUAAAUCCAUAAAAGAAGUAGAAGUGCUGAGCCUUCCUGUGGAGUGGGUGCUGGAGGGGAAAAGGUGGAGUUAGGGGAGGGAAGGGGAGGGCAGGAAGGUUGGUGAUGGGCAGAGAUUCACAGAGACUCCCAGGUCAGGGAGCAAUCCCCCAGUCAGGGCAGCAGGAAUGCCCAGAGGAAUUCUGAUCGGGACAGACGUCGGGCACUGAAUGAAGAGAGGUCCCUCAGGGGCCUGGUCUCAGGGGCCUUGAAUUCCACGCAAAGCGUGUCUUGAGCAUCAACUAUAUGCCAGGCACCUUUUACAUAUAUUAUUUCUUACUUCUAAAUUAUUCCAGAUUUUAAGCCGGGUGCAGUGGCUCACGCCUGUAAUCUCAGCAUUUUGGGAGGCCAAGGCAGAUGGAUAACCUGAGGUCAGGAGUUCGAGACCAGCCUGGCUAACACGGUGAAACCCCGUCUCUACUAAAAAUACAAAAAUUGCCUGGGUGUGGUGGUGCAUGCCUGUAAUCCUAGCUACAUGGAAGGCUGAGGCAGGAGGAUUGCUUGAACCUGAGUGGCAGAGGUUGCAAUGAGCUGAGAUUGUGCCACCGAGCUCCAGCCUGGACUACAAAGUGAGACUCCAUCUCAAAAUAAUAAAUAAAUAAAUAAAUAAAUCUAUCAAUCCAGAUUUUACCAAUUAGGAGACUGAGCCUCAGAGAAGUUAAAUCACUUGUCCAGAGCCCUGAAAUUGGAGAAGCAGCUGCGCUCAGACUGGAACCCUAGAUGGUAGGGCCCCUUAGUCCUCCUUUAUCUUGGGGGGAUCCAGGGAAGGCUUUUCAGCAGGGGAAUGAUGCAAUUGGAUACACAUGUCAGGGGGAACAUGACUGCUUGUGGCAAGGAACGCAGUAAGCCUGGG